ensembl:lncRNA
GUUCUUGGUUUUGUUCUGACAUGAAUUGAAUCAGAGUGAGCCGAUGUUCUGAGCACAGACGGUCCAAUCCUGACCCAGGUGAGCCUCAGCCCAACAGUCCAAGCAGAGAGGCCUGUAACGCUUCAGCAAACCCAGUAAGGCUGCACAGUUGGAGGCGAUACCUGCGCUGCAUGCACGUCAUUGUUUACAUCAUGAAGGUACCAGUGUUGGGACUAAGGCGUUAUUAAGUAACGCGUUACAGUAACUACGUUAUUAUUGUGGUAAGUAGCACGGUAACUAGUUAUUAUGCCAAAACCAGGAACGCGUUACUCGUUACUGGGAUUUAGAUAGG